AUGCCGGAGUGAGACAGUGAGCCAUUUUCUAAUCCUUUGGCCCCAGAUGGCCAUAAUGUGGAUGAUCUUGCUCCUUUCACCAAUCAAAACUCACCAAAGAAGACUUCAGGAAACUUCUCAUGAUGCCAAGGGCUGCACCUACUUCUGCACCACCUUCUAAGUCACGUCAUCAUGAGAUUCCAAGAGAAUACAAUGAGGAUGAAGAUCUAGCUGCAAGGAGGAGGAAAAAGAAAAGUUACUAUGCCAUGUUGUGUCAAUAAGAAAUUGAGAGAGAGAGAGCUAGCAGAGAAAUACGGGACUGUGCCAAGGAACACAGAGACAGUGUGAACAAAGAUUAUGAGGAAACUGAGCUCAUCAACACCACAACUAACUACAGAGCUGUGGGCCCCACUGCUGAGGAGGACAAAUCAGCCACAGAAAAGAGAAGACAAUUGAUCCAGGAUUCCAUAUUCUUGGUUGGUGAUAUGGAACACACCUAUUUGGUGAAAGGCUUGGAUAUUGCUCUGCUUCAGAAGGUAUGAGCUGAGAUUGCCAGCAAAGAAAAAGAGGAAGAGGAACUGAUGGAAAACCCCAGAAGGAAACCAAGAAAGAUGAAGAUCUUGAAAAUAAAAUUGAAUUUAAAACACAUCUGGGGCUCAAUGUUUACCAUAUGCUUGCUUUUCAAGAGCAAAGCUUAUGAGUAGAAUGAGCUAUUUCUGCCAGGCCCCAUGGCCUAUGUGGUAGACCUGGAUGAUGAAUAUGCUGACAUGGAUAUCCCCACCACUCUUAUCUGUGGCAAGGCUGAUUGUCCUACCAUGGAAGGCCAGACCAUACUGACCACAAAUGACAUUGUCAUCAGCAAGCUCACCCAGAUCCUUUCAUACCUGAGGCAGGAUACUCACAAUAAGAAGCUCAAGAAGAAGGAUAAAGGGAAACUGGAAGAAAAGAAACCUCCUGAAGCUGCCAUGAACAUUUUUGAAGACAUUGGGGAUUACAUUCCCUCCACGACCAAGACAUCUAGGGACAAGGAGUGUGACAGAUAUCGGGAACGGGAGUGUGAUUGGGAGAGAGACAGAGACUGUGACCAAAAGCAGGAACGAGAACCAGAGCGGGACACAGAGGGAGAAGAGGAAAAGAAGAGGCACAGCUACUUUGAGAAGCCAAAAGUAGACGAUGAGCCCAUGGAUGUUGACAAAGGACCUGGGUCAGCCAAGGAGUUCAUCAAGUCUAUCAGUGAAAAGUUUGCUGGGUCUGCAGGCAGGGAAGGCACUGAAUCACUAAAGAAGCCAGAAGACAAAAAGCAGCUGGGAGACUUCUUUGGCAUGUCCAACAGUUAUGCAGGGUGCUACCCAGCCACGAUGGAUGACAUGGCUGUGGGGAGUGAGGAGGAGGUGAUUAUAGCAAAAUGGAUCAGGGUAACAAGAAGGGCCCCUUAGGCCACUGGGACUUUGAUAUCCAGGAGGAAUCCAGUGAAUGUAUGAACAACAAGGAGGCCUUGCCUAAGGCUGCAUUCCAGCAUGGUAUCAAGAUGUCUGUCUGAAGGGUGGAAAACCAGGUGCUGCAAAGAAACCAAUGACAAGGCAGAGCUUGAUCGUCAGUGGAAGAAAAUUAGUGCAAUCAUUGAGAAGAGGAAGAAGAUGGAACUGAUGGGGUUGACGUCAAAAGACCAAAAUACUAA